UACGAAGGGGGCUAGCGUUGCUCGGAAUCACUGGGCGUAAAGCGCACGUAGGCGGAUCUUUAAGUCAGGGGUGAAAUCCUGGAGCUCAACUCCAGAACUGCCUUUGAUACUGGGGAUCUCGAGUCCGGAAGAGGAGAGUGGAAUUCCUGGUGUAGCGGUGAAAUGCGCAGAUAUCAGGAAGAACACCCGUGGCGAAGGCGGCUCUCUGGGACGGUACUGACGCUGAGACGCGAAAGCGUGGGGAGCAAACAGG
rnacentral:rRNA from 1 species